AUGAAUCUGGGGACAGGCAGCCAGCAGGUUUCAAGAGGAGCUUCCAGCUCGCCCCAGCCCAUGGGACCUUGUAUUUACUGCCUUCUCAGGCGUCCCCCUCCAUCGUGCCAGGGCGCUGUGCAUGCCGCCGGGGCCGGGGAGUGUCUGGAAUCCAGUUUGCUAACAGUAAAAACUGCAGAUUUUAGUUCUUGCUGCCUGUUUUCACCUCCACCAGCUUUCGCCCCUAAGCAAAACAGCUGCAGCCUCCCCGAGACGGCACCUUUACGGUCUAAUGCCGCCUGCGCUCGGCACYGGCGGGAGGUGGUGGCAGUCUGCCUGCUGCUGCUCCCAACCCCGCAGCCGCUGCCAGCGUGCCCCGGGCAGGGAAAUGCCRGCGAGCCCUGGCUUGGCACGCGCUCCCGGCCUGUGACCCGCCAGUCGGACGUAUUCCCAGCCAAGCGGCUGCCUGGCUGGAGCUCAGCUCCGGCUCUUUGCCAAGAUCUCCUCRGGCUGCUCUGCUCCCCUGGUUUUCCAGCUCGCUCCGGUGUCCUAAGGCGGUGCGUCGGCAGGAGGGACGGGACCGGGGUGGCUGGGUCGCUCGUGGCCGAGCUGAGCUGCAGCCUGGGAGCUGGGGCCGGAGCAGUUGUAGGCAGCCRGUUUGCAGGAUUCGGGGCCCUGACGGGGCUGCCGGGAGGUGGCUGCUGCUGCCGCUGGCUCGCGGCACGCGGAGCAGGUCCAGCCCCGUGCAYCCCGCGGCAGGGCGACGGCGCUCCCCCUUCCCUGCGCGGUCUUUGCUCCCGUCGCUCUGGGGCCGGGAGCGCGGCCGCUUCGCGACAGGGGUUUCUGCCCUCCCCAGCUGAGAAAUGCAGAAGCGCGAGUGAAACCUCCCCAGCUGCGACCUCRGUGGAGGGCUUUUCCCCCCGGUCGGUACGGCGGCGACGAGCCGGUUUCCUAGAGCGUGUUGCGCCGGGCGCCCGGCAGCGAUGCUGCGGAGGAGCCGCGGUUGAGCAAGGGCAGAAACGAGCUGGGAUUUCCCCGGGAGUCUGCAAUUUCAGGUUCAGUGCAGAAGCCUCUCCCAAAGGUCCCCUGCGUCUCGCGCGUGGUCCUCGGGGCCCCACGUCCUCGCUGGCGGUGCGUCACAUCCUCCUCUCGGCAGGCAGAGAGGUGACGGGAGCCUUGAGAAACGGGGGGCUUUCAAAACCGCCCGUUCCCCAUCCCCUGCACCCCCAAGGUUUUGCUCCCACGAGGUAG
rnacentral:lncRNA from 1 species